rnacentral:rRNA from 1 species
ACGCGUUAAGUAGACCGCCUGGGGAGUACGGUCGCAAGAUUAAAACUCAAAUGAAUUGACGGGGGCCCGCACAAGCGGUGGAGCAUGUGGUUUAAUUCGAUGCAACGCGAAGAACCUUACCUACUCUUGACAUCCAGAGAAUCCAGCGGAGACGCAGGAGUGCCUUCGGGAGCUCUGAGACAGGUGCUGCAUGGCUGUCGUCAGCUCGUGUUGUGAAAUGUUGGGUUAAGUCCCGCAACGAGCGCAACCCUUAUCCUUGUUUGCCAGCGAGUAAUGUCGGGAACUCCAGGGAGACUGCCGGUGAUAAACCGGAGGAAGGUGGGGACGACGUCAAGUCAUCAUGGCCCUUACGAGUAGGGCUACACACGUGCUACAAUGGCGCAUACAGAGGGCAGCCAACUUGCGAAAGUGAGCGAAUCCCAAAAAGUGCGUCGUAGUCCGGAUUGGAGUCUGCAACUCGACUCCAUGAAGUCGGAAUCGCUAGUAAUCG